ACCCGCUGAUUUAAGCAAUCUCAGUAAGCGGAGGAUGAGAAACUAAAUAGGAUUCCCUCAGUAAUGGCGAAUGAACAGGGAAAGGCUCAGUAUGGAAAUUGGAGCCUCUGGCUCUGAAUUGUAGUCUCGAGAUGUACUACCAACGGUGGCGCAGGUGUAAGCCUCUUGGAAAAGAGCAUCAGAGAGGGUGAGAGCCCCGUGUGUCAUCUGCAGCCCACCGUGUACGGUGUAUAUUCGAAGAGUCACGUUCCUCGGGAUUGGAGCGCAAAGCGGGUGGUAAAUUUCAUCUAAAGCUAAAUAUUCGUUCGAAACCGAUAGCAAACAAGUACCAUGAGGGAAAGGUGAAAAGGACUUUGAAAAGAGAGUUAAAAGUGCCUGAAAUUGCUGAAAGGGAAGCGAACGAAACCAGUGUGACUUGGCGAGAUUGCUGUGCGCCAGUGUGACGCCUGCUGUUUCAACGCAAGUGUGGUGGCAGGUUCGGAUCAGGACGCGCGUGGUGCUUCUUGCCUUGUCGGUCACUGUCAGUUCACGCACGAGGAAAACAACGGGGACAAGGUAGCCUGGCCCUGUGACUACAUGGUUCCAUUCGGCCCGUCUUGAAACACGGACCAAGGAGUCUAACAUAUGUGCGAGUUCACGGGUGUCCAAAACCUGUCUGCGCAAUGAAAGUGACUGCUGGGAUUUCUGCACCAGCAACCGACCAAUCAAUCGAGAGAGGUUUGAGUAUGAGCACGUCUGUUAGGACCCGAAAGAUGGUGAACUAUGCCUGUGAAGGGCAAACUCAGGGGAAACUCUGAUGGAGGCUCGUAGCGAUACUGACGUGCAAAUCGUUCGUCAUACAUGGGUAUAGGGGCGAAAGACUAAUCGAACCAUCUAGUAGCUGGUUCCCUCCGAAGUUUCCCUCAGGAUAGCUGGAGUUGAACAGUUUUAUCAGGUAAAGCGAAUGAUUAGAGGAAUCGGGGACUCGUUGUCUUCGACCUAUUCUCAAACUUUAAAUGGGUAAGAUCCAGUGGUUACUUGGGUGAACUUCUGGGAUAAAUGACAACUCUAAGUGGGCCAUUUUUGGUAAGCAGAACUGGCGAUGAGGGAUGAACCUAACGUUGGGUUAAGGUGCUUAAUUGCUCGCUCAUCAGAUACCAUAAAGGGUGUUGGUUCAUUUUAACAGCAGGACGGUGGUCAUGGAAGUCGAAAUCCGCUAAGGAGUGUGUAACAACUCACCUGCCGAAUGGACUAGCCCCGAAAAUGGAUGGCGCUCAAGCGGGUGACCGAUACCUAGCCAUUGCUGCAAUCGUGCCGCAUCAAUGAGUAGGAGGGCAUGGGGACUUGUGGUGAAGCCUUUGGCGCAAGCCUGGGUGAAACAGUUUCUGGUGCAGAUCUUGGUGGUAGUAGC
rnacentral:rRNA from 1 species